UACGUAGGGGCCGAGCGUUGUCCGGAGUUAUUGGGCGUAAAGCGCGCGCAGGCGGCCUCGCGCGCCGGCGUGAAAGCCCCCCGGCUUAACCGGGGGAGGGUCGUUUGGGGACGGCGGGGCUUGAGGGCGGGAGAGGUCGGUGGAAUUCCCGGUGUAGUGGUGAAAUGCGUAGAGAUCGGGAGGAACACCUGUGGCGAAGGCGGCCGACUGGGCCGACCCUGACGCUGAGGCGGCGGAAGGCGUGGGGAG
rnacentral:rRNA from 1 species